GACGAACCGUGCGAACGUUGUUCGGAAUCACUGGGCUUAAAGGGCGCGUAGGCGGGCGAGCGAGUCCGGGGUGAAAGCUUUCGGCUUAACCGGAAAAGGGCCUCGGAUACCGGUCGCCUGGAGGGAGGUAGGGGUCCGCGGAACUGCUGGUGGAGCGGUGAAAUGCGUUGAUAUCAGCAGGAACGCCGGUGGCGAAAGCGGCGGACUGGACCUCUUCUGACGCUGAGGCGCGAAAGCCAGGGGAGCGAACGGG
rnacentral:rRNA from 1 species